CCUUCUGCAGGUAAUCUGGAGAACAGUCAUUUCAGUGAUAAUCAGGAGUUCUGCUUCUCUUCUUGGUUGUAAUAGAUGUGAAGCAAGAUGACAGCAGUGAGAGAGGAUGAGUUGAUUGAGCAAGAUGAGAAGGUGACUCUUCUGGAGGAAAUGCUACAGACAGCUCAGUUCUAUUGAGGAAAACACUUCUUUGACAUGCUACCAUUUAGAGUGUCACAGUUCGAGACUCCUUGAAAGAAGAUGACUUUUUGCUCAUUCUGGAGAUCUGGACCCAUUAGUAAAUUGAAGACCUUAGAAGCUGUUCCACUAAAGUCAACAUCUGGAUGUUUGCAAUUUCACCUGAACAUCUUAAGGAAGUUAAUAAGUCCUUGCAGGUAUUUGUUACAUUGUGCGUUAAUCAUGGGAGAAUGAAUAUGCAGUUAUUUGAGAUGUAAUUCUGACUGGCUGGAAGAAUGAUUCCUUUUGGAUGCUAACAAAUUCUGAGGAGGAGAGUUGAGGAGGGCUUGCUGACUGAAUCCAGGAAAGUUUGGAUUGCCUGUGGAAGAGAGAAGGGAUCCUGAUCUAUGUUCCCUAGAUGGAUUUCACAACUAAGUGUAAGUAAUCAGUAAAAGGUGGAGAAUGAACUAAAGACCAACACAAGCCUUCUGCACCCUCAACAUGGGCCUUGAGCCAGUCCUCUUAACGCAUAGGAAACAGAAGAAAGAUGCUGAAACCAAACCUGCCUAUAUCUGUUAUCGCUGUAUCUCAAUGCCAGCAUGAGUUCACGUGUUACUUGAAAGCAGCACUGCAAGGAAACUAUGCUCUAUCCUUAAACAUGUGGCUCCUGGAGGAGGGAGCAUGCCAGAGAGUGAUGGGAGACAUUUACUCCCCAUUCCAAAAGACAGGCUCUCUGAUUCUGAGAGAUACUUUUCAGUUUUACAUUCCAGCAUGGUACGGCUGUCGUGGAUGCUGGUGUUACACAUCCCAAAUAAGGAGCAGCGUUGGGAAAAUUUUGAAACUAUUGGGACUCUAAGGAAAGGUCUGGCCUAUCCCUGCGUGGCAGUGUUGCACUAUGGCAGUCAGAAACACUGUAGUCAAAUCUUACAGGAGAAACUGAAGUCUGAAACCCCUCUUUUACGUUUAAGAGUCUGCAAAUGACAACAGAAGAAAGAUUUCAGGAAAUAAAAUACGUGUUAUAGUGCUUUUCUAGUCAAGAGCAGAGUUAUGCUUCUUCAUGUGUGUGUCCUCAACUGCUUUGGAGCAAUACCAUUCAUUCCACAUCUGUUUCUGUCGUGCACUUAGUGUAUGGUAGGUAAAUACACACAGCUGGAAGCUGAAUCUCAAAGCUCCAGUUCCCAAAUUGCGGGCUGUGGUUCAUGAGGUCACAGUAAGUGGUCUGUGGCAGGUCUGCAGACCUGUAAACUGGAAUAACAUUUAUUUAAUCACUUCUUUCUAAGUAAAAAUGCUGGGAGUGGUGAAAGUUUGAAGGGUAACAGCGAUCAUUAGUCCAAAAGGUGUGGAAAUCCUUGUCGUGAGGUCUUUGAAUCAGUUGUAUGGUUAAGAUUUGUGAAGGGGUUUCUGAGAAAGAAUGUAUAUAUAUGCUGUGUACAGUAAGAUAUUGUGUGAUGGAAGGUAUGAGUACCUGUAACAUUGAUUUUCAUCCCUGGGGCAGCUUUAGAUCAUUUUUGGCAAGUUUUAUAUUUCUAACUUUGACAUCCCUCUGAGAAUUUACUGUUUCUCUAUUAGACCUAGAGUUACAAAUGUAUGUGGUCAUAUAAAGAGAGAAAUAUGAGAAAUGAUCCUUAACAAAAAAAGUAUUAGAAAUAACAGCUCAAUAGAUUUACUGUGUGACACAACACAUGACAAAGAGCACAAAUGCUGCAUACGUAGCAGAGUUCAUCCUCUGCUCACUUCAUGCAUGCAGUUUGAAGACUGGCUUUUUCUUUGUUAUAUGUGAAAGAAGAUUCCAUUAAUUUCAUCAACGUAUUUGUUAUUCAAAAUUGUUCACUAGAAUUCUGCAAAAACGUCUUAAAAUGCCAAUUAUUUGUAACUGGACUCCCACAGACAUUGCUUGAAAUACUCAAAAGUCGAGACCAGCCAGGCAGCUUUUUGUAGAAUGUGUGAGUUUUACGCCUCUGGAUAAACGCAACUCAUGGAAUCCAGUUCCCACAGUGAAUAUUUAUACUUAAGACUUAAAACGUUCGUUUUAUAUCAAUAUUUUCCAGUGUGAACUUAAAACAUACCAUUUCUGCAAACGUUCCUCCAGAAGGAGUCGUUUGUUUGAACAUGGUGAAGGCAUCUCAGAAAAGAUUGCCUGUACAGCUGGAAUAAUUUUGAAUAAAAUUC
rnacentral:lncRNA from 7 species